UAGGGAAUUGUUCGCAAUGGGCGCAAGCCUGAUGCAGCGAUGCCGCGUGCGGGAAGAAGGCCUUAGGGUUGUAAACCGCUUCCAGCAGGGAAGAAAAUGACGGUACCUGCAGAAGAAGGAGCGGCCAACUACGUGCCAGCAGCCGCGGUGACACGUAGGCUCCAAGCGUUGUCCGGAUUUAUUGGGCGUAAAGAGCUCGUAGGCGGUUUAGUAAGUCGGGUGUGAAAACUCUGGGCUUAACCCAGAGACGCCACCCGAUACUGCUAUGACUUGAGUACGGUAGGGGAGUGGGGAAUUCCUGGUGUAGCGGUGAAAUGCGCAGAUAUCAGGAGGAACACCAGUGGCGAAGGCGCCACUCUGGGCCGAAACUGACGCUGAGGAGCGAAAGCGUGGGUAGCAAA
rnacentral:rRNA from 1 species